AAAAUAUUACUCUGGAUAGUUUAGUUUCUGGACGAAGAAGAACGCAAGGAAUUGCGAUAAGUAAUAGGAACAAUAGAACGUGAAUAUUUAAGAUUUGAAUGCAUGACACUCCGCUUCCUGAACUUCAGAUGCGUAUGUAAGUUUCAAUAUCCC
rnacentral:rRNA from 1 species